rnacentral:rRNA from 1 species
UAUUGCACAAUAGGGCGCAAGCCAUGAUGCAGCCAUGCCGCGUGUGUGAAGAAGGCCUUCGGGUUGUAAAGCACUUUCAGCGAGGAGGAAGGUGGUGAACUUAAUACGUUCAUCAAUUGACGUUACUCGCAGAAGAAGCACCGGCUAACUCCGUGCCAGCAGCCGCGGUAAUACGGAGGGUGCAAGCGUUAAUCGGAAUUACUGGGCGUAAAGCGCACGCAGGCGGUUUGUUAAGUCAGAUGUGAAAUCCCCGGGCUCAACCUGGGAACUGCAUUUGAAACUGGCAAGCUUAGAGUCUCGUAGAGGGGGGUAGAAUUCCAGUGUGUACGCGGUGAAAUGCGUAGAGAU